rnacentral:sRNA from 1 species
GAGAGAGAGAGAUUGUCAUGGAACUGAGUCUGAUUAGGAAAAACUGGGAAAGAAGACUAAUUGUGUCUGUGAACAAUUUUUUUCCUGCUGUUUUCAGUGUGUGUAUGUAAAUGUAAACUGUGGAAGGAUCUCUCUUCAGCAGAUUGUUUUGUUUUUCUGCGUUCUCUUGACGUUGUUAUACAGUACAUUUGAACAAAUUGAAUUCUUCCACUAAUUUCAUGACGUUAAAGUGAAUGAAUAACAAAAUGUUGCCAAAAUCACUCAGAGAGUAGAUAUUUAGUUACCAAUUUUAAAUUGGGUCAUUUGUUGCUUUUAAGAAUCCUUUUUAUGUUAGAUUACUCUCUUUUUUCUGAAUUUAAACUGCAAUGCCAAAGUAGGUCCUCAAAGGGGGAGGUUUUCCCUGGUUGGGUCUGGUAUACUGUAAAGCAACAUCUAUUCUCUUGCGAGAAAGUUUCAUGAGGUUCUUGAGAGCCUCGUUGUCAUGAAUAUUUCUUGGCCCGAACCACUCUUUGUCGCAUGGUUGUUAUAACAACAAGACUGUGAAUAAGGCUUGGUCGGGAAAAUUAGUUGUCACAAACCACCUUAUCCCGAGUAAAUCAUGAAAUUUAGUCGCAGCGAAUAAUAGUUGGUUUACAGUAUUGUGUCAAAUCUGAAGAAAAAUUGAUUGAUAAGCAUUAAUUGAUCUGUUUUAAUGAAGAAUAUACACUCAUGCUUCCCCACCCUCAACAAUCAAAGCGACUUCAGUGUGAUAGACUGUGAUGAAUGUUUGUUGACGUUAUGUUCCAUUGUGUGUUAUUUUAUUGAGAUUAUCUGAUGUAGAGGUUGUAAGGUGAUUGUACACAUGUAGCUGGAUAUCUGUUCUCAUGUUGGGCAUUACUGGUACUAGUUGUCUGUUUCUGUAGUCACGAGUGAUUCAUACGCUUGUUAGAUUUUUUUUGUGUAUUUCCCCUGUAUUCCCCCCCCCCCCCCCCCCAUUAUCCCUUACAAAGCUCCACUUUUUCUGUGGACAUAAAGCUGACAUUUUGUUUCAUUUAUUGCACACAAAGUGUACCAUUCCUCCAUGUUCCUCUCAUGUAUCAUUAAAUGUUACAGUUAUUUAUCAUCAAAAGUUCCAUAAGAGUAGACGAGAACUCUGAGGAGUGAAUGGGUCUGUAAGUCCUUCCAUUAACAACUCUGUACAUCCUGUCGAGUGUACAACUCGCUAUGUGAUAACGCAUCCUCUUGGUGCUCUGUAUAUACUAGGCAGAAUCAUGACAGCCAGGUCCGUGAGAUACGUCCACCCCUAGCCAUUAGCUGCUGACAUCUUAUCUUCAAAAACUCUAACAUUUCUGAGUGGUAGAAAAUAUUAUUUUUUGCAUAAGCUUGUCAAUAUGGUUAUAUAUCAUAUGAUUAUAUUGAGUAAGUAUCUGCCAUUAGAAGGUGGUUAAGAUAUAGAAAAGUUCCAGCGUGUUGUUUUUGUACAAGUUGUGUACAAGAAAACUAACUGGAAUUGUAAGUUUAUACUGCAUCAGUAGUUGCCAGUAAUUCUGUAAUAUUUUGUACACCCACCAUCCAUCAUUUGUAAAUACCACUGUUUGAACAUUUGCAUGCAUUCUGAUAUUGUUUUCAUAGAACAAAGCCAUGUGUUGAUAGGUUUGAAUAUUUGUAAAAAAAGCUUAUUUUUCUAUUUCCUGUAUAUAAGUGAACAGUGAAUGUGUCCGAGAGUUUCUGAGAGGCUUCAAGUAUAAAUACUCCCGUGCCAUAGGGUUGUAACCAAAACAGAGGACAGCUGUGCUUUCAUAGAACGUCAAAUCAUUUCUAAUCAUUCACUUCAGUAUUUAUAUCUCCAAUUUCCUUUCAUGGACUUGUGUUUAUCAUUUUUACCAGAAUAAUGUUCCUCAAAAUAGAAGGAGGUUUGUCACAAAUUUCAUGAAUCGUGAUUUAUGAUUACGAAAAGAGGUUUGGGGUGGAGGGCUUAUGGUAUAGUUUUUGGACAUGGUGAGGUGACCUAAAAGUCAACAUCCAACCACAGGAUAGAGGGGUCAUUAUUUGUUUCAUUUGCCAUUCAACAGAGUAGCCAUAGUUUCAUUUUGUUUGAUGAACAACAGGGAAGAUUGAUGCAUGGGUUUUGGUUUGUAAUUAAUUUGGAGUACUUGGCAACUUGGAGAGAGUGUGGUUGUUAUGUUCUGUAAUUGCAUGUACAAUCUGUUUUUCAUGUUUUAAAAAAAAGUUAUAUGAUGCAGCAUUUAAUCUUGGGCCAUAACAGACAUAAUAUCGUAAUCGUGAUUAAUCAACUUCCCGCAUUCUUGUGUUGGUCAUCAUAGGUGUCUGGGUGCAAUAAAAUCUUCUUCCGAGAUCUCCAUGACUAUGCUAGAAAACAUUCAGUCCUGAUGUAUUCAGCCAUUGUUCACUGGUUUCUGCUCCAUUUUAAUUAUUUUCUGUUUUACUGAUUUUAUAUCUAAAGGAAUUUUUAGUUUUGAAUUAAACUUUUGUUUUACAAAUGUAUGAAACAUUAACAUGUUAUAUGAAAUUUUAGUUUUGUCAUCAAAUACAGGUAGAUUGUGUUUUUAACCAUUGGAAUAUAUUGACUUAUCAACCUGAUGUUAUACUGUAGAAGAGUGAUUGCUUCAUCAAGAAUAUAUUUUUAAUUAUGAACUCUCAACAAAUUUGCCUGUUAUCAAUUUUAACUGCUUGACAAUGUCUGCUCAGAAUAAAGCAGCUGUCGUCCACUCU